GAUGAACGCUGGCGGCAUGCCUAAUACAUGCAAGUCGAGCGACCGGACGAGAAGCUUUCUUCUCUGAUGUUAGCGGCGGACGGGUGAGUAACACGUGGAUAACCUACCUAUAUGACUGGGAUAACUUCGGGAAACCGGUGCUACUACCAGCUAAUAUUUUGAACCGCAUGGUUCAAAAGUGAAAGACGGUCUUGCUGUCACUUAUAGAUGGAUCCGCGCUGCAUUAGCUAGUUGGUAAGGUAACGGCUUACCAAGGCAACGAUGCAUAGCCGACCUGAGAGGGUGAUCGGCCACACUGGAACUGAGACACGGUCCAGACUCCUACGGGAGGCAGCAGUAGGGAAUCUUCCGCAAUGGGCGAAAGCCUGACGGAGCAACGCCGCGUGAGUGAUGAAGGUCUUCGGAUCGUAAAACUCUGUUAUUAGGGAAGAACAUAUGUGUAAGUAACUGUGCACAUCUUGACGGUACCUAAUCAGAAAGCCACGGCUAACUACGUG
rnacentral:rRNA from 1 species